rnacentral:rRNA from 1 species
UACGUAGGUGGCUAGCGUUGUCCGGAUUUACUGGGUGUAAAGAGCGCGCAGGCGGUCGUUCAAGUCGAGUGUGAAAGCCCCCGGCUCAACUGGGGAGGGUCACUCGAUACUGAUCGACUCGAAGGCAGGAGAGGGAAGCGGAAUUCCCGGUGUAGUGGUGAAAUGCGUAGAUAUCGGGAGGAACACCAGUGGCGAAGGCGGCUUUCUGGCCUGCUCUUGACGCUGAGGCGCGAAAGCUAGGGUAGCAAACGGG